rnacentral:rRNA from 1 species
UCAGGCCUAACACAUGCAAGUCGAGCGGAUGACGGGAGCUUGCUCCUUGAUUCAGCGGCGGACGGGUGAGUAAUGCCUAGGAAUCUGCCUGGUAGUGGGGGACAACGUUUCGAAAGGAACGCUAAUACCGCAUACGUCCUACGGGAGAAAGCAGGGGACCUUCGGGCCUUGCGCUAUCAGAUGAGCCUAGGUCGGAUUAGCUAGUAGGUGAGGUAAUGGCUCACCUAGGCGACGAUCCGUAACUGGUCUGAGAGGAUGAUCAGUCACACUGGAACUGAGACACGGUCCAGACUCCUACGGGAGGCAGCAGUGGGGAAUAUUGGACAAUGGGCGAAAGCCUGAUCCAGCCAUGCCGCGUGUGUGAAGAAGGUCUUCGGAUUGUAAAGCACAUGAAGUUGGGAGGAAGGGCAGUAAGCUAAUACCUUG